CCUUCUCAACUGUAAAAUAAUCAAUAAAUAGAAUCCAGAUGAAAAAUGCCAGCAUUUAGGAGAACAACUCUUUUAUGGCUCUUUUCUUUUGGGUCUAAUUAACACAUUGGGGAUAAAAUGUGCUGCUACAUUUGCCAACCAGCAAAGGUGAAACAUACACUCUCCUUUCCUCCUGCAGGGACACAGCUUCACAUCAGGAACACAGGUAAAACAGACAGGCCGUUUCAAAACAUUGUGAAAUGCUCCACAAACAGCUAUGGAAACCUGUGAGGAGAAGCAAUCUCUCUGUUUUGUUUUGUUUUGUUUUGUUUUGUUUUGUUUGUCUUUUUAGGGCUGCACCCCCAUGGCAUAUGGAAGUUCCCAGGCUAGGGGUCGAAUUGGAGCUACCAAAUUCAAGCCAUGUCUUCGACCUACACCACAGCUCAUGGCAACGGUGGAUCCUUAACCCACUGAAGGAAGCCAUGGCUUGAAUCUGUGUCCUCAUGGAUACGAGUCGGGUUCAUUACCACUGAGCCACAAUGGGAACUUCCCUGACUCUCUUUUAAAUGAGGAAGACAUGCCUUUUUGGACAAUGACCACCUGAGCCAUGAAAGUUUCAUGUGGGGCUCUCAGAGUGGAUGACACCUUUUCAAUUAUAACACUGCUAUAAUAAACCCCCACAGAGCCACAGGCCAUGGAGUCUAUAUCCAACACAGGAUACCUAUUUGUUCCCUAAUUAUAUUGCAAUAUAUUCUCCCUGCAUGUGUACUGAUGAAGAUAAAAUAUUCUUUUAAUUCUAUGGCCUCCUGCAGGGUAAAGGAGAGGGGACCAUACAUGGGCAAAUUCUGGGAGUUCCUGAUACUAAAUCACAGCCUUUGUUCCAGGCUCCCUCAUUGCAUAAUCACUCAAGAAAAUCACUCACUUUCCCUUAUUCUAACACAGCGGUUCUCUCUUCGUGGUCCAGGGGCCAAGAUCAUCAGCAUCACCUGGGAACUUGUUAAAAAUUCAAAUGACUAUGCCCACUCCCAGACCUACUCAGUCAAAACUUUGGGACUGGAGCACAGCAAUCUGUGUUAAAACAAUCCUUCCACGGUUACGUCUGAGAAGCACUGGUCUACAAAACUGGAAGGAAAGAGCAUCAUUUUAAAUAGAAUCAGGGACCAGGAAUACCUGGACUCUAUAGGGCCUGGGCUCCUUUCUGAGCAUCUGUCUCCAUCUGCAGAGUCAGGGCUCCAUUUAUCCAUCUGUACAAUGGGGCUACGGGGUUCACCGAGAAGCUGUGGAGGCUGGAAUUUAAGAGGUUCGCAGUUACCUGGCACCAGUCUCUAUGGAUACCUAGCAAGAUCACAGUUGCCAAUACUCACCAGCUCCCUCCCGCCAUGCUCUGACUGGCAGAAGCUCUGCAGAGCAGUCCUCCAAUGCCAUAUCUAAGGUCAUCAUUGCAGCUGCCUCUGGGUUACCCUUGGCAACCAGGAGCCAGUGGUCAUGGAAGCCCACGGAUCACCAAAUCUCAUGGUCAGUAGUUUCAAGCCUUUUCACCUUGGAGUCUUGAACCACUAAAGUGGCUUGGAAUUAUUUUUGUUAUAUCAUCCCAUUUCAGCACAUCUUUAGACACCUUUGUGUAUUUGCCUCUGCUCUACAACUAGACUUUAAGCCUGUGGAGGAGGACACCUAGGAGGUCAUGGUCAUGAGGUAGAGGACCCUGCCUGACUGCUUCAUUGCUGGCUCCCCAAGGCCUGGACCAGUGCCUGGCACAAACUAGGAGCUCAAGAACUGCUUGUUGACUAAACAUUCCUAGCACAGUAAAUGCUCUGCCUACAGUAAGUCCAACAGUAUCCCCAAAUCUUCGAGUAUCUAAAUUCUAAAAGUUAUGGCUGGGAAAGGUUUAAAGAAAGUGACUUGAAACCCCAGGGGACAAGGAGAAAAGGGCGAAGCAAGAGCCUAUUUCCCAGCUGGAGCCACAACCCUUGGUUCACGGGUGCUGACUUCCCCGCCAAUUGCUUACCCAAGGUCUGGAAAUAGAAGACCUCCGGGCCAGGUUCUGAGCUUGAUUCUAAGCAGCUGGUUCUUGCAGCUGUCGUAGUGCUUCUCACCUCAAAGGCCAGAUUUCUACUGGUUGUGAUGCUGCUGCCUUUUAACCAAACACUUAACAAGAGGUGACCUUUCCUACCCCUAAGUGAUUUAAACCUUGUGCUCCACAAUCCUUCUUCAAUUAGAAAUCUCAGGCUCAAUUCCAAAUCCUCCCUCCAGGAAUUAUCCCUAAUCCUGCUCUCUCCAAACAUGAUCUCACCUGGGAAGCCUAUACUCACUUUCUCAGCUACAAAACAGUGGAGGCUUUUUCCCUGUGGAUUGCAUUUUUCCCAGCUGGGCAGAGCCUUAAGGGCCCCUUUACCUCCAGACUUCGGUGCAGGAACAAGAUAGAUAACCAACCGACACCUAAGUGAUUUGUCCUAGAGGAUGAUCACAGCACAGCACCUAACAAGGGACCAGUUCUCUGCCUCUAACCUCACACACACCCAGUCUUCCCGUCUGCAAAGGUCUUAUAGUGGACGGAUUGGGAACACUUGCCCUGUGAUGAGAAAGUGGUUAGGGACAGAGUACCAGAAAAAGCCCUAAACUAGGAAUCCGGGGACCUGGUUUGCAUUUUCUUCCACACUUUAUUAGCUCUAAGGGAAUCCUUUCACUUCUCUGGGGCUUCCUUUGCAGAUCUGUGAAAUGGGAGGAAGAGGUGGAGACCGAAGUCAAGGACCUUGAAUUUCUCGAGGCUUAAAUAGCAUGUGAACAGCGGAGGAAGCUGGCGCGUGGUGAGAGAAGCUGAUCGAGUGGCUGAAGGUCAAUGCCCUCUGGGGACCCCGCCCAACCUUCAGAGGACAAGGGCCGAGAGACACUCUCCGCAAAGCCCUCAGCUCUCGGUCCCUCUAAAUCUUUCGAGGGAAGCUUUCCAACAGCACUCCAACAAAGAGGGCCGCGGAGCCGGGGUCCCGCUAGCUCCGCGGAAGCUGCACGGGGUAGAGAAUCCUGCCUCCCGGACCCUGGGAGCUAAAGGACACGCGCCCCUCGGCAGGCUCCGAAAGCCUCGGCCAGCCUUGGCUCGCCGUCACCUGGUCAGGGUAUUAACCCGUGCUUUCCCGGCAGAGCGCGGAAAAGGCGCUGAUGCCUGGGCACGAGUACCCUGGCGAGAGAGAGCUGAGAUGGCCAGGAGCCCAAACCACC
rnacentral:lncRNA from 1 species